rnacentral:rRNA from 2 species
UUGGACCUGAUAUCAGGCGAGAUUACCCGCUGAACUUAAGCAUA